CAACGUAGAACUGGUCGUCUCCGGCCACGAAUCACGAACACAUCCAACGCGAGAUGCACUUUUAAAAGUCACUUGCAAUGCGCGAUGUAGGCUCACGGGUCACGUACAUAAACGUAUGUGAUGAAUUUAGGAUUUUCGAGAGGUCACCAGUUUCAUAUACUUUACAUCAAUGAUUUAUAAUUAUAGAAAAUUUUAAAAUAAAUA